rnacentral:rRNA from 1 species
GGGGGGCGUCCCGGGGCUUCCUUCGCGGGAGCCCCGGUCGGCGCCCUCCGGGGCCGAUCCUCGACAGACCGUCGCCGCCGGUGUCUCUUCCCACACCAAAGCGGGGCCAAGACGGGAGCGGCGCGGGGUGAGACCCUUUCCCCCGUCGUCCGACUCCCGGCCCCGUGGGUACCCGGCGAGCGCGGCAGUCCGGUGGUCCCUCUCCUCUCGGGGGGAGGAGGCCACCGCCUGUACGCAGGGGGGCGCAGGCCCGGGACUUGCCAUUAGACGCCGUCGCGCAAAUCUGUUGUUGGCCUCGCCGGCUCUGCUUGGGCUCUCGGUUGGCGGGCCGCGCGUCAGGCGGGCUUUAGGGCGGGGGCAUCCCCGUCCGGGUCCGUCCCGCGCGGUUUUGCCUUCCGAUCCUGCUCUGUCCGGAGUGGCCUAGCGCGCGUGCUGUCGGCAAGUACCAUGAGCAGACAUGUUGGGACCCGAAAGAUGGUGAACUAUGCCUGGCCAGGAUGAAGCCAGAGGAAACUCUGGUGGAGGUCCGCAGCAAUUCUGACGUGCAAAU